CUAGUGGGGAGUGCGGCAAUAUUUUGGUCGCUUUGGAAAUGUAGAAAUGAUAUUAUUUUCAGAUCUAAAAAGAUUCAGGAUCCGAUAGUUUUUAUACGAUUGAUGUGUAACUGGAUUGUGGAUUGGUCAAUAUUGCAGAAAAAAAAGCCGGAGGAAAGACUAAUGCAGCUGGGAGCAAAAGUAAUAGAGCAGGUGGCAAGUGAGGUGUACAAGGCAAUGCAAGGAUGGAGACUGGUGUGCGACGUCUGGAGGCCUGAGCAGCGAAGAGAACCUUUCUUCUUACUUUGUGUUGGCUUGUAA
rnacentral:rRNA from 1 species